CGACCGCCUCCUCUUCCCCGCCUCUUCCUUCUCCUGCGCCUCGGCGGCCGCCGGAGCCACUCUUCAGGGAGGAAGCGGCCUCCGGGGCUUGUUGCUUUGUGCUGCAACCAUGGGACUGCAAGGACAACGUUGCUCUCCUACCUUCCGCGCUCACUGACAUCUAAACCCUUAAAUGACUCCUGCGUUAGUCAGGUAGGAAUGUGGCUUUCCAACUCCAGACCUGGUAUCACAUCGGACAAGAAAACACCAGGUCAGCCCGUUGUAAUCUAGAGGCCAAGACAGCAAGUUCUCUGACAUAAUCAAGAAUGAAUAAUCCUAGGUCGGACUUUGCCUUCCACUGGGCAGAGCACCUUCUCAGGAUCGCGAGUUUCCAAUCCAGACUUGCCCGGUAC
rnacentral:lncRNA from 1 species